UGUUGUGGAUCUCCGGAGGACUGGAUGAGGUUCCUGCGGCCUUCUCCACCAGGGGGCGUUCAGGAACAUCGUAGUGGGCGUGGUCGGCGGAUCCUACCGGCACACCUGCUGCCACUUACCUUGUUGGGAGGAGUAUUUCAGGAGGACAUCGUCAACACUCUAGUGCCAGAGUGUUAGCUCGUAAAUGGUUUCGUUGCCGCGGAACUGCCGGCAUUCUGUCCAUCUGAAUUCCCAGUAGCCGGAGGAAUCAUCGAGACCACACGACCUGGUCCUCCUUGGUUUCCGAAGAGCCUGUCUCACCUGUCCGCCCUCCAACGCCGCAGUCGCCCGUCCUCUCUGCUCCAACCCCUGAUCCACCGUGCUGCCUAUCCCUCUCAGCUCCGCCUUUUCCACCAGCAAGAAGACCAUUGGUCCGGUUCCGCCCUCCCGAGUGUCCCAUCCUGGAUGUCUUUCACAUUUUUGCACCGUGUUUAUAAUAAAUCAUUGAACUAAC